UAGAGUUUGAUCCUGGCUCAGAUUGAACGCUGGCGGCAGGCCUAACACAUGCAAGUCGAGCGGAAACGACUUAACUGAACCUUCGGGGGACGUUAAGGGCGUCGAGCGGCGGACGGGUGAGUAAUGCUUAGGAAUUUGCCCAGUCGAGGGGGAUAACCAUUGGAAACGAUGGCUAAUACCGCAUACGCCCUACGGGGGAAAGAGGGGGAUGCUUCGGCACCUUUCGCGAUUGGAUAAGCCUAAGUGAGAUUAGCUAGUUGGUGAGGUAAAGGCUCACCAAGGCGACGAUCUCUAGCUGGUUUGAGAGGAUGAUCAGCCACACUGGAACUGAGACACGGUCCAGACUCCUACGGGAGGCAGCAGUGGGGAAUAUUGCACAAUGGGCGCAAGCCUGAUGCAGCCAUGCCGCGUGUAUGAAGAAGGCCUUCGGGUUGUAAAGUACUUUCAGCGAGGAGGAAAGGGUGUGAGUUAAUACCUUACAUCUGUGACGUU
rnacentral:rRNA from 2 species